GACAGAAACUAGCUUGUGGAGCUUGUCAUAUAAAAGACGAUUUCUUUGCUUUGUGUGCACCAAAGCAAAGGCGCUCCAAUUCCUCUCACACCCACUCGAUGAGACACAUUGUGAGCAAAUUCUCAUUGCACACUUCUGCAAUGCAGGAACAUCCCCUCCAAAUUGAAACCACCAUUGGGAUGCAAGAUAUCACCAAUGAAAUUUUCAGAAUUGCAAACCAAAAGGAGAUGAAAAUUCUAAAACUAAAGGACCAUCUCUUACUUGGCUCCAUUCUCGCCGCAGCUUCUUCUGCUAAUCUGGUCCCAAACCUCCCUUGGCACUCCCUAAACUUACUUACUUCAUCAAUGGCUGAAAGAGCACUCUUUGGAUCUAAUAUCUUCGCUAUCGCAUCUGUUAGUGAGGUAGCAUAAUCUGUAUGGUUGCAAAGGUUGAGCUUGUAAUGUGUAUAUGGAUCAAGGAC
rnacentral:lncRNA from 1 species